rnacentral:rRNA from 1 species
CGGCUUCACGAAUGCUAUACUGUCUCCUUUAUCCAAUCAGUUAAACUAAUCUCCCCGUGAAGAAGCGGGGAUUCACUUAUAAGACGAGAAGACCCUAUGGAGCUUUAAACACUCUUAAACAUUUGAGCCCUCUUAUUCACCUCCAGAAAACUUCACUAAACCCCUCAUUUUGUUUAAACUUUUAGGUUGGGGUGACCACGGAGAAUAACCUAACCUCCACGUGGAAAGAAGCUUAAUUCUAAGCAAAAAGCCACAUCUUUAUGCAUCAAUAAUAUUGACCUAAAUUGACCCAAUUAUUUGAUCAACGAACCAAGUUACCCUAGGGAUAACAGCGCAAUCCGCUUUAAGAGCUCCUAUCGACAAGCGGGCUUACGACCUCGAUGUUGGAUCAG